rnacentral:lncRNA from 1 species
UCUCGGUCUAGAAGCUCCCAGCCUCGCCGAGCUUAGCUAAUCAGAGCUCGAAUCAGCGGUGGGUGAGAAGAGGAGAUAUAAUAUACAAGGAGGUCCUAACGGCUUAGAUGAGGUAAUAUGAACAUCACCUGUGAAAUAUCAUGCAUCAUUUGUUUUGUCCAUUGUUACUGCUGCUGCUAAUAACAGUUUCUUUUUGUUGUUACAUUUAAUCAACAGGAUUAUUGUGCACGUCAUUCUUAGACCACGCAAGCAAGGUAUGCACAACGGUUUUCAAGAAAUCUUUUAACGAAAUUGAGGUCCCUGGAUUUAGUGAGCAAGGAGCUUCGCAAGGCUGCAUUUUAGAUAAAAAAAAUUAAUACUUACUGCGGUUAUUAUUAGUAUAUUUGAAAUAAAGAGUAUACGUGAUGUACAGACUCACCACGCAGAUCAUGUGUAAUAUUCAGAAUUUCACACUUUAAUGGUCUUAUACAUGUAACCUAUUCGACUUGAUCUAUAUGACCUGAUAUUCAUGUAACUAAUCAGUAAUGGAUAAAUACCCACACAAAAGAUUUGAAAAUUGCAGAUAAUGUCAAUGAGGCUUCAAAAUAACUCCCAGAUGCUAAUUUGGUAAGACUAAAGCUUCAUUCCCUGUUCAUCAGAUAAUUAUAUGGUUGCAGUUCUAACAGAUAUUUCCUUGGUUCAAGAAGAUGCUGAUGAGAAAA